GACGAACGCUGGCGGCGUGCUUAACACAUGCAAGUCGAACGGAAAGGCCCUGCUUUUGUGGGGUGCUCGAGUGGCGAACGGGUGAGUAACACGUGAGUAACCUGCCCUUGACUUUGGGAUAACUUCAGGAAACUGGGGCUAAUACCGGAUAGGAGCUCCUGCUGCAUGGUGGGGGUUGGAAAGUUUCGGCGGUUGGGGAUGGACUCGCGGCUUAUCAGCUUGUUGGUGGGGUAGUGGCUUACCAAGGCUUUGACGGGUAGCCGGCCUGAGAGGGUGACCGGCGACCUUGGGACUGAGAUACGGAGCAGACUCCUACGGGAGGCAACAGUGGGGAAUAUUGCACAAUGAGCGCAAGCCUGAUGCAGCAACGCCGCGUGCGGAAUGACGGCCUUCGGGUUGUAAACCGCUUUCGCCUGUGACGAAGCGUGAGUGACGGUAAUGGGUAAAGAAGCACCGGCUAACUACGUG
rnacentral:rRNA from 1 species